rnacentral:tmRNA from 1 species
AUCGGUUUCGACUGGGAGUGAUUCGGUUCGAGUGGCGUGUCGAGGUUGCGGAGAUGGCCUCGUUAAUCCCUCCGCAGGCAUUCAACUGCCGAUAAUUACUCACUAGCCGCUUAAGCGGCGCGUCUCUUCCGUCUUCGCCCGCUGGACGGUUAAGGCGACUGAUCGCGGGCUCAGCAAGUCGUUCUGCCCGGUAACGGCGAGUGAAACUUACGGGCUGGUCUAUUUCUUCCUUCGCUUGCCGAGCUGGAAGUAGAUAAGAAAUGACGGCAAGCUACACACGUAGAAGCUUGUUCGGAACCUCUUCAGGACGCGGGUUCGAUUCCCG